AGACCCGAAACCCGGUGAUCUAGCCAUGGGCAGGUUGAAGGUUGGGUAACACUAACUGGAGGACCGAACCGACUAAUGUUGAAAAAUUAGCGGAUGACCUGUGGCUGGGGGUGAAAGGCCAAUCAAACCGGGAGAUAGCUGGUUCUCCCCGAAAGCUAUUUAGGUAGCGCCUCGUGAAUUCAUCUCCGGGGGUAGAGCACUGUUUCGGCUAGGGGGCCAUCCCGGCUUACCAACCCGAUGCAAACUGCGAAUACCGGAGAAUGUUAUCACGGGAGACACACGGCGGGUGCUAACGUCCGUCGUGAAGAGGGAAACAACCCAGACCGCCAGCUAAGGUCCCAAAGUCAUGGUUAAGUGGGAAACGAUGUGGGAAGGCCCAGACAGCCAGGAUGUUGGCUUAGAAGCAGCCAUCAUUUAAAGAAAGCGUAAUAGCUCACUGGUCGAGUCGGCCUGCGCGGAAGAUGUAACGGGGCUAAACCAUGCACCGAAGCUGCGGCAGCGAACGUAUCACCCAAGACAACUUUACGGAGUUGACGAUUGACGGAGCGAAGCGACGUCAAAGCGUUCAUUAAAGUCGAGUUGGCUUAGGGAUACGUUCGUUGGGUAGGGGAGCGUUCUGUAAGCCUGUGAAGGUGUGUCGUGAGGCAUGCUGGAGGUAUCAGAAGUGCGAAUGCUGACAUAAGUAACGAUAAAGCGGGUGAAAAGCCCGCUCGCCGGAAGACCAAGGGUUCCUGUCCAACGUUAAUCGGGGCAGGGUGAGUCGACCCCUAAGGCGAGGCCGAAAGGCGUAGUCGAUGGGAAACGGGUUAAUAUUCCCGUACUUGGUGUUACUGCGAAGGGGGGACGGAGAAGGCUAUGUUGGCCGGGCGACGGUUGUCCCGGUUUAAGCGUGUAGGUGUGUGUUCCAGGUAAAUCCGGUUCACUUUAACACUGAGGCGUGAUGA
rnacentral:rRNA from 1 species